UGGACGUCUGCUAGUACACGUGGACACCUACCCUCCGGACGGGUAUAAACCCGGGAAACUGGGUAUAAUUCCCGAUAGAUCUCGGUCGCUGGAAUGCCCCGAGAUCGAAAGCUCCGGCGCCAGAGGAUGGGUCUGCGGCCUAUCAGGUAGUAGUGGGUGUAGCGUACCUACUAGCCUACGACGGGUACGGGUUGUGAGAGCAAGAGCCCGGAGAUGGAUUCUGAGACACGAAUCCAGGCCCUACGGGGUGCAGCAGGCGCGAAAACUUUACAAUGCCGGCAACGGCGAUAAGGGGACCUCGAGUGCCAGGUUACAAAUCUGGCUGUCGUGAUGCCUAAAAAGCAUUGCAUAGCAAGGGCCGGGCAAGACCGGUGCCAGCCGCCGCGGUAACACCGGCGGCUCGAGUGGUAACCGUUAUUAUUGGGUCUAAAGGGUCUGUAGCCGGCCGGAUAAGUCUCUUGAGAAAUCCAGCAGCUCAACUGUUGGGCUUUAAGCCAUGCGAGUGAGGGCAACGAGCGGAGACCCGA
rnacentral:rRNA from 1 species